UGGCAAGCGGCUUGGGUCGGGGGCCACGAAGCAGGAAAGCUAGUGGGGAGAAUUGGCAAGGGGACCGAUCAAUCAAGGCUUGUAGAACAUCUCAAACCAGGGAAGGUGGCUGUGGAGAGAGGACACAGGUUCCAUGAAGUGCCCCUAGAUCGAGGCCCUCCUCACCUGCUCCCUCCAUAGUCCAUACCUGAGGAUACAGAGACAACUGUGAGCACCAGCCCGGAGGCGACAGAAACCAAAUCUACGGGUGCCGGUCAGCACUCCAGUGGACCUGUCUCCAGUUUUGUGGAUGUUGGGAGGUGUUCUUGAACUUGAUAGUUCUGUUGGCAGCCUGCUGAAUCUCAACCUUUCUCACCAAACAGAGGAAGUACCGUAGCUCCUUAGUGGCUCAGCUUUGUGCUGUGCCAACCCAUUUCAGGGCUACUCAAAAUGUGGUCUCAUAGGCAGCAUCAUCAGCAUCUCAUGAGAACUUGUUAAAAAUGCAGUCUUGGGUCCCACCUCCCCCACCCGGCUGCAUCAAAAACUCUAGGGUGGGGCCCCAGAAGCUGUGUGCUAGCUAGCAGUGUUCCUGGUGAUUCUUUUAUACGCUGAAGUUUAAGAAGCACUGGCCUACAGCCCACUCUCUCCACCCCUCCAAUGGUGUUGUAAACCCCUAAAUCCUUGUAUUAAAUCCCUUUCUGUUUAACAUGCCUAGAAUGGUCUCCACACUAAACUCUGGCUGACAAACUGGAAUCAGAGUUUUAGAUUUAAACUGUCAGGCUUUGAACCCCGGCUCACUGCUUCACAGCCAUGGGGCCAAAUUGUAAUUUUCUAAGAUGGCCACAGUGAGAACUCCCAUCCCACAUGUUCUUCUGGUAUUUUGUCUCUCUACUCUCCAGAGGUGGAGUCUAUAAUAUAGCCCACCUCCUUGAACUUGGUAGGUCUUUGUGAUGGCCUUGAUUAGGAGUCCAGAGGAUACCAGUGACUUCUGAAGCUAGGUCAGAAAAAUGUAAUGCAUUCCGCUUGCUCUCCUGGGAUACUUGCUCUUGGGGACUUUGGCCACCAUGCUGUGAGGAAGCCCAAGCAGACUGUGGAGAGGUACCAAUGCCCUCCCACCUGCCUCUGCUGAAUCUCCAGCUGACAGUUGGCAUCAACUUGGCAGCCAUGUGAGUGAGCCACCUUGAAAGUAGAUCCCUCAGCCCCCUGUUGAGAUUCUGUAGCUGAUGCCACAGGGAGCAGAGACAAGCUGUCCUGCCAAGCCCUGCCUAAAUUAAAGAUUUGGGAAUAAAAUAAAUAACUGCUGUUUUAAACUCCUAACAUUUUGGGAUAUUUGUUACACAGAAAAAGCUAAAUGAUACACCUUGUCUGUCUAAACCUUUGUUUGAAAGAAGAUAAAAGCUCAGACAUUACAGGGUUGGUGUGAGAGUUACAAGAGACGAGGCAUGUGCCAGCACAUUGAAGUGCUCUAUUCAUGUUAGUGACUAUUA